rnacentral:rRNA from 1 species
GACGAACGCUGGCGGCGUGCCUAAUACAUGCAAGUUGAGCGAUGAAGAUUGGUGCUUGCACCAAUUUGAAGAGCAGCGAACGGGUGAGUAACGCGUGGGUAAUCUGCCUUUGAGCGGGGGACAACAUCUGGAAACGAGUGCUAAUACCGCAUAACAACUUUAAACAUAAGGUUUAAUAGUGAAAGAUGCAAUUGCAUCCCUCUAUGAUGAUCCCGCGGUGUCUUAGCUAAUUGGGUAGGUAAAGGCUCAACAAGGCGAAGAUACCUAGCCGGACUGGAGAGGUGGACGGCCAAAUUGGGACUGAGACACGGCCCAAAAUUCCACGGGAGGGAAGAGUAGGGAAAUCUCGGGAAUGGGCGGAAGUCUGGACGGGCCACGCCGCGUGGGGUAAGAAGGUUUUUGGAUCCGAAAACCCUGGUUGUAGGGAAGAAACAAGUGGGGAGUGGACAGCGCAUGAAGUGACGGUAACUAACCAGAAAGCGACGGCUAACUACGUG